rnacentral:rRNA from 1 species
UACGUAGGGGGCAAGCGUUGUCCGGAUUUAUUGGGCGUAAAGAGCGUGUAGGCGGCCAGGUAGGUCCGUUGUGAAAACUCGAGGCUCAACCUCGAGACGUCGAUGGAAACCAUCUGGCUAGAGUCCGGAAGAGGAGAGUGGAAUUCCUGGUGUAGCGGUGAAAUGCGCAGAUAUCAGGAGGAACACCUGAGGUGAAGACGGGUUGCUGGGCCGACACUGACGCUGAAGCGCGAAAGCCAGGGGAGCAAACGGG